rnacentral:lncRNA from 1 species
UGCCCAUUGAAUUCUGGUGUGUAUGUGUGUAGUUUUGCUGUAUGUGUGCAAAGCAGAGCACUGUCUAUAUUUCAAAUAGUUAAAGAUAUGUGGCACAAUGAAGUCACAUUUUUACACCCUCACAUGCUAAGGGUGUAAAUGCAGUCUCACAGCCAAAUGCAGCAUUUAUUUCUUAACAUUAGUCUAUCACUCUUGGUUUAUGAUGUUUUAAACACAUGUUAGAGAUAUUCAUGAAGAUGUAAAAGAUAAAUUUAAAACCCACAUCAAUUGCACCAAAAGUCAACUGGAAGGAGAAGAUUUUAAGUCCCAGGUGUGUUAAUACAAAUUGGCAGCCAAAGGAACGGAGUCUUGGCCAACAUAUUUCCAUGUCCACCUAAACACAAAUAGCCUCAAACCUUUGGAGGUUGUUCCUUUGAGAUGUUUCAUCAGUGACAUCACAGUGAUUGCCACCUCCCUUGGACUACUUUAGGCCCUGCCCAGAGCCCCAGAGUCCAGACAGCCCGGGAGAGGAGCAGGAGUUGGAGCCCGAGUUGGAGCCCAAGUUGGAGAGAGAGGAGAAGCCUGCUGCAGCCAGGUGUGUCCUUGACCCUCUUCAGGUCAAGAAACAGAUCAUUGCCAGUACCCCAGAAGUCUGUUCCUGAUCACCUCUGCCUUCUGCCCCACCAGAGGCAACCCUUUGUAAAGAUGUUCAUUGGCAAUUUACUAUAUUCUUCAUGCAGAGGGUCAAAAGAUGGAUAAGGAUUAAAAGGAAAAUGAAACGUCAAUCAAUCAUCAUCAGCCAUAUUUUAAACCAAGAUUCGACAACCUACUGGUUGACACCGUCUGAUUUGAAGCUGCGUGUUAUGCCAACAAUUACAUAAUAAGAAAAAUGAUUAUUCAGCUGGUUUAUAAAAGUAGUAAUUUGGCUCACUAAUAAUAUAACAAAUACAGUAAUUACAAUUAAUAAUUCAGUCAGGUUAGAUGGUUAAAAAUACCAUUCAGGCCCAAAGCUUGCUAAUAACUCUUCUGCCCCCUGAAGUCCCACCCUUAGAAAAAACACUCUUUCCUCCUAAACUUUUUCACUCCAUAGUAGACUUUUGUCCUAAGUAUCUAAAAUUUUAUCUUUAAUUUCAUGUGGUUUGCAUACAUGAAGUGCCAAUUCUGCCACAUCACUGAAGAUAAUAGUUCGAUCGACUAUAUUGCAUAUGUUCUCAAAGUAUGAUUUCCUGCGUGUACUAUCUGUAUGAACUAUAAAGAUACCAUCCCUACUCUUUGAAGUGUUUACAAUCUAGGCACAUCCUGGACUUGACUAAAAAUAGCUGGCACAAGCCUUUGUUGAAAUAGAAGUACUCAUGAGGCUAACACUUGCUCUUUGGACCAAGUGUCUGUUAUGUGAGGGACUUCUGGGUGACCCCAGAAGGCUCUGUGCCCAAUGCGGGGCUUACAAAAAAGGCCAAGCAGCUGUUGGAACUACUUCAAGCUUUCACGAGGGUUAGAUGAAGUCCUCUAGCAGCCUGAAACCUGAAAAAUGAUGGUAUCCUACUUCUAUAUGCAAUUCAAAGAAAGAACAAUACUAAACCAUAACAUUUUUUCUGUUUUGGUGACCUUGCUUGCUGGCACUCUAAGUUAACAAAGUAAGCGCACACACGCACACACACACAGAAUUUGGAGAGAGAAAAGUGUAAUAUUUUGUAUUUUAUCAAAAGCAUCAAUACAAUCAUCACAGGAAAAAAAUCUUGACUAUGUUGGUCUUUUUGACAUCAAGUAGAAAAGUCAGGCUCUCUUUAUUAGUCAGGGCUCUUCAGGGAAACAGAACCAUAGGAUAUGUGUAUGUGUGUCUGUGUGUGUUGUGUAGAUAGAUGAUUGAUGGAUAGAUAGAUAGAUAGAUAGAUAGAUAGUUAGAUAGAUAGAAUUGGCUCAUGUGAUUGUGGAGGCUGGCAAGUCCAAAAUCUGCAGAGUAGGCUAGCAGGCUGGACACCCAGGGAAGAGUUGCAGCCUUAGUCCAAAUAUAGUCUGGAGGCUAGAAAUCCGAGAUCAAGGUGUUGGCAGAGUUGAUUUCUUCUGAGGCCUCUCUCCUUGGCUUGCAGAUGGCCGCCUUCUCCUUGUGUCUUCACAUGGUCCUCCCUCUGUACAUGACUGUAUCUUAAUAUCCUCUUCUUAUAAGGACACCUGUCAUAUUUGAUUAGGGUCCAUCUUAAUGACUUCGUUUUAACUGAAUUACCUCUUAAAAGACCCUAUCUCCAAAUAUAGUCACAUUCUGAGAUACUUGGGGUUAGGAUUUCAACGUAUAAAUUUUGAGGGGGACACAAUUCAGCCCAUGACACUCACCUCUUCCACCAUGCUUCUAUUUCCUUUGAGAAAAAAAUGCUCACUAAUCUCCCCAUUUUUUUUUUUGCUGUUUUCUGUUAGGAGGUGAGGACAACAGGAGGUCUUUGGUGUGCCCUCAGAAGUCCGCCUUCAAUUCUCACCCAGCCACUCUGAGAAUGGAGUGGAGACGGGAGCUGUUUCUCAACUUCACCGUUGUCCUGAUUACAGUUCUCCUUAUGUGGCUCCUUGUGAGGUCCUAUCAGUAGUGAGAGGCCAUGCCACGCUCCUGGGAUUGACUGCAACACUCCAGAGCUGCCUGCUGUAUGCCCUGAGACCUCACCGCUGUCAUGGGAUGCCUUUCCUGGCACCCCAAGACACUUCUGACCUGCACUCACAAUAUCUGAGGUGCCUCCAGUGCUAGGAUCGAUUGUGUGUUCUCUAAGGAUGCUGCUCUCAAGGGCUCCCAAGCGUUUGCCUGCGAGCAUUAGAUUUAUUCCCCCAACUCUUACUGCAAACAUGUUAGACAAGCCACAAGGUUAAAAUUAAACUGGAUUCCCGGUGAUGUAGAAUUGUAACAAGCCUCUGAUCUGUCUUACCACACGUCCCUUCAACCCACACUGUCUGCAACCAAACUCUAAAUCAACCUGCCAGAAGAAAGAAAUGUUAGACCAAGUCUUUGUCAGCUCCUAUAGCUACUGUGUGAAUAAAGUUAAGUCAACCACAAAAACGACUUUGAGAAUUUAUUUUAGCUUCUGUUUGUGAUACUGCAUUUGACCCUUGGCUGGGAUUGAAGUGACAAAUGCUACAGUAUUUCUAGCAUUAGAGAUAAGCCAAAAUACUCCAACUGCUAAGGAUUUGAAACCAAGUCAAUUACGAGUGUCACAUUUCAAAUGAUUCCAUUGGUUCAGUGCUCCUCAAACUUUCCCUCUGAACUAAUCUCAAGGGCAGAGGGAGAAUGAAUGCAUUCCGCUAGGAGGUCCAGGGCACAGCCUGAAGUUUCCACUAAAAGCACACAAUUUCUUUGAAGUUUUGUGUUUUAUCUUUAAAAUUCACAAGAAAUGUGUAUUUUACCCUAUGAUAUCUCCAUGUUUGUUUUAAUAUAAAUAUUUACAAUUGUUUACCAUUGAGUAAAGCUAGAGAAGAGUCAUGUCCCUAAGAGUAGCAUUUUUCAGUUUGGUUAUUAUCAUUAUGCAAAUCGAGCUAGUCAUUAAUAAACUAGUUAUAACAAAGAGGAAAAUAAAAAGUACAAAUUUACAUAUAUGUUUAUAAAAGAGACUAUGAAAUAGAUAUUUCUAAAACACGUAGCUAGAACACCCCAUACCAGAUAGAUCAAAUUUGUUCUUUGUGCCAAUUCUAAGGUAAUCGCAGAGAAGGGAAACGUCGUUAAACCUCA